GACGAACGCUGGCGGCGUGCUUAACACAUGCAAGUCGAACGGAAAGGCCCUGCUUUUGUGGGGUGCUCGAGUGGCGAACGGGUGAGUAACACGUGUGUAACCUGCCCUUGACUUUGGGAUAACUCAAGGAAAAUGGGGUUCAUACAGGAUAGGAGCUCCCGCUGCACGGUGGGGGUUGGAAAGUUUCGGCGGUUGUGGAUGGACGCGCGGCUUAUCAGCUUGUUGGGGGGGUAGUGGUUGACCAAGGCUUUGCAGGGUAGCCGACCUGAGAGGGGGGCCGGCGACAUUGGGCCUACGAGACGGCCCAGACUCCAACGGGAGGCAGUGGUGGGGAAUAUUGCGCAAUAGGCGGAAGCCUGAUGCGGCAGCGCCGCGUUCGGAAUGACGUCCUGCGGGUGAUAAACCGCUUCCGGCGGUAACGAAGCGGGAGUGACGGUAAUGAGUAAAGAAGCACCGGCUAACUACGUG
rnacentral:rRNA from 1 species